AUUCCUUGUUCCUUUCAGAUGUUGUGAUGCUGCUAUUUCACUGAUGCUGCUGUCAUCUUACGCAUUUUUCUUAACUGAAAAACGCACUGGAGAUGAGGUUAGAUUUGGAGAAAGCCCAGUGAGACAAACUUCUCUGGUUGUGGCAGAUCCAGUGUCAGUGGUUACCCAUGCAGACUUCCCCAAGCUGCUUAUUCAGGUCUCCCCACCCAUCCCAGGCGAGAUGGCUGCACCUUCCCAUCUGCUGGCGUCACUGCAUGCAUAGUCUCCUCUAACCCCGUUCUGUCAAAAUUGAUCCAGGUUUUUAAAAAAAAAAAUCCCUUGCUAUGAAGUAUUUAAACUCACUCAAAUCAUUUUGACGGAAUAAUGUUAAUGAGUAACCAGACAUUCAAUUCUGCUGGAGGCUGGGGGUAGGGAGAGGGACAAAAACUUCCAGCUGGAAGAAAGUGGCAGGCAGGUGACAACAGCCUAGCUUUGGACUUCAUGAGGACCCUCAUCAACACUGUAGCUGAAGAUGCUCAGUGCUCCCCAGCCCUGGACGGUUUGAUAAAACUUCGCUUCACCACUCUCAAGUCAUGGCAUCUCGGUGGAAUAAUUCUCUGUCCCCACCAUGCCUGUCCCGUGAGCUCCAGUAACAAGGAGUCACUGACCGGGACAUCCCAUACCCAUUGCAUUGUAUAAUACUUAUCCCAGAUCUGACACUUUUCGGUAAUUUCAUUAAUCAAUAGCACUCGUAUCAGUUUUGCAAAGGAUACAAUGCUUGGAAAAGCUGUAAGCCCUACACAGAUGGCAGGAUUUGAAUUCAGAAGGAUGAACUGAACAAAUAGAGAAGAUGCAUUACCGCAAUAACAGGUAUGUGGUCAUUAAACAAAUGGAACGCAUUUCAGUAAGGACAAAUCCAAAGCACAGCACUCGAGAAUAAUCAACUGAACAAAUAUGAGAUGGGGAUGACUGGGCAGCAGUUCCACAAACGGGGUCAAGAGGUUGCAGUGGGUCACAGACUGAACAUGCGUCAGCAAUGCCACAAGGUUGCAAGAAAUGCAAAUAUCAUCCUGGAUAAGUGUCAAUAGGAAGGUUUCGUUCAGAUGCAGAACUCUUCAGUCUGAAGCAUCGUUUCCAGGAAUGCCAGGAAUCAAUGGACAGAAUACAGAGGAAAGCAGAUAGAGCUCUCCGAGCCUGGGAAACAUUGAGAAGACCAGGCUCUUCAUCAUCUACAAAUGAGAAGACUGCAGGGAGACAUGGUAAUGGCCUUCAGACCCGUAGAAGGCUAGUGCAGAGAGAACAGACGGUAGUGGAUUUAAAUUGCAACAAGGGAGAAUUGGACAAAUCUCUGCCAAGAAUGGUUUAGGCAUCCUUAGAUAUGCCUUGAGAACAGAGGAUGGAACAACAGACUUUCAAGGGCUACUUUCUUUGUCUGCUUUCUAUGAAUUCUUUAAUGCAACAUUCAAUAAAACCUUUGAAUUGCUCCAGAAGCAAAAUAUAAA